rnacentral:lncRNA from 1 species
GCUCCAGGGACCUGGCGGCCGCCGAUCGGGGCUGCGAGGCCCCAUGGCGCCGCCCCCAGCCCCGCUCCUGGCGCCGAGGCCCGGGGAGACCCGGCCUGGUUGCAGGAAGCCCGGGACUGUGAGCUUCGCGGACGUGGCCGUGUACUUCUCCCCGGAGGAGUGGGGCUGUCUGCGGCCCGCGCAGAGGGCUCUGUACCGGGACGUGAUGCAGGAGACCUACGGCCACCUGGGCGCGCUCGGUGAGAGCCCCGGGUCCGAGCCCCCUCCUCCUUCACCGGGUUCACAGGGGAGAUGAUGUAGAAGGGCCGAGAGGACUGUGAGCCCUAAUCCCGCACUCUUGCACCAACACCAGCAGCCACCUCCCGUUCCCAGGGCUUCAGGUACCCCCUCGGGAGUGUUUUCACCCGCAUCCAUUUCAUUCAGGCAGCAGCACUGCAGCCCCUUCCAGGUUGAGUAUAAGCUCCGAGGGGGUGCCCUCAGCCUGGAGGGGAAUGCCAUCUUCCCACGAUGGCCUCUCAGGCCCGCGCUGUGAUCCCUGUUCUCUCCCAGGAUUCCCAGGCCCCAAACCAGCCCUCAUCUCUUGGAUGGAACAGGAGAGUGAGGCUUGGAGCCCCGCCGCCCAGGAUCCUGAGAAGGGGGAAAGACUGGGAGGAGCUCGGAGAGGAGAUGUCCCAAACAGGAAGGAAGAGGAACCGGAGGAAGUCCCAAGAGCCAAAGGGCCUAGAAAGGCUCCUGUGAAGGAGAGUCCUGAAGUGCUGGUGGAACGCAACCCUGACCCAGCUAUUAGCGUGGCCCCGGCACGGGCACAGCCACCCAAAAAUGCUGCCUGGGACCCGACCACAGGAGCACAGCCCCCGGCACCCAUACCCAGCAUGGAUGCUCAGGCCGGCCAGCGGCGCCACGUGUGCACGGACUGCGGCCGCCGCUUCACCUACCCCUCACUGCUGGUCAGCCACAGGCGCAUGCACUCGGGGGAGCGGCCUUUCCCCUGCCCCGAGUGUGGCAUGCGCUUCAAGAGGAAGUUC